rnacentral:lncRNA from 1 species
AGCAGGGGGUGACAGUACCCACAGGGACACUCGCCAACGUCUGGGUACAAUUUUGGUUGUCACAGCUGAGGGUUGCUGCUGGCACCCCAUGGGUCGAGGCCAGGAUGCUGAUCAGCAUCUCACUGUGCCCAGCGCAGCCCCACCGCAGAGAAUGACCCGGCUCCCGUGUCUACAGGGCCGGGGAGGAGAGGGCCUGAUGUUGCUCAGGGAGUAGCUGAGGCUGGGAGGACGCGGGCCUUGUCACCUGCACUCCAGCUCUACAGGAAAACGCCUCCUUCGACUGGGACCUUCUGCAGUGGAAAAGCCCCAUUUUUAAUUUUCUUGAGCUGCGGCUAGUGGUGCACGAUGUGGCCAGCGGGCCUUUGGGUGGCGCUGGGGUCUGGGCGCUGCGGCAGUGAGGAACAGAUGUUGGAGCAGGAGAGAUGGAUAAGUAGAGUCCAGUCUGCGUGUUCAAGGAAGUGAAGGGGCGAAGACUCGCCUGGUGCUGCCCACGCAGUGCCUGGCUCUUGCCACGUCUGCCCUGCAUGCACGUUUCUGCCAUGCGCCACGUGGAAGCAAAGGAUAGAGGUCAGCAUUCACGGGGGCAGACACAGAUGGCCCAGGCUACAGGUCCCAGCUGCCCAUCAGAGAAUGCAGCUUGGAAAGUACACGCUGAUGUGGCGGCUGAGAACCAACGCCCCUUUGACCAUGUGGUCGGACCUCUCUCGGAAGAAGAGAAACUGAGAUUUAGAGGAAUCCUUUGGGAAAACGAAACUGAAAUCUUACUCCCCCCCCGGCAGCCUCCUGGUGGCCACAGGAUAUGGACUUGGCCUUGGUUAAUGGCAUGUCAGUGGCUUCCACUGCAUGAUGCUUUUGGGGCUCAGCUCUGCCAAGGCAUAAUUGUGUACAAUAAAACCC